rnacentral:rRNA from 1 species
AUUGAACGCUGGCGGCAGGCCUAACACAUGCAAGUCGAACGGUAACAGGAAGCAGCUUGCUGCUUUGCUGACGAGUGGCGGACGGGUGAGUCAUGUCUGGGAAACUGCCUGAUGGAGGGGGAUAACUACUGGAAACGGUAGCUAAUACCGCAUAACGUCGCAAGCCCAAAGAGGGGGACCUUCGGGCCUCUUGCCAUCGGAUGUGCCCAGAUGGGAUUAGCUAGUAGGUGGGGUAACGGCUCACCUAGGCGACGAUCCCUAGCUGGUCUGAGAGGAGGACCAGCCACACUGGAACGGAGACACGGUCCAGACUCCUACGGGAGGCAGCAGUGGGGAAUAUUGCACAAUGGGCGCAAGCCUGAUGCAGCCAUGCCGCGUGUAUGAAGAAGGCCUUCGGGUUGUAAAGUACUUUCAGCGGGGAGGAAGGGAGUAAAGUUAAUACCUUGGCUCAUUGACGUUACCCGCAGAAGAAGCACCGGCUAACUCCGUG